rnacentral:lncRNA from 1 species
AUAUGGAUAAAGUGAAGGAUGAAAAAAGUAGGAAGCUCUGCGCAACUUCACAAGAAGAUCUGAGAGGCCGAGGAAAAGAGAAAAGGAAACGAAAACGCAGUAGAAGCAGAUCAUCAUCUGUUACAUCCACAUCGUCUUCUAGUGCUACAUCCACUUCUUCUUCCUCAUCGCGCUCAUCAUCAAGGUCAUCUUCUUCAAGUAGCAGAGAUUCUCCUAAGUCUAAGUCAAAGAAAAAGAAAAAAGAAAAACACAAUAAAAAGAAAAGGAAAAAGGAGAACAAAAUGAAGAAAAAGAAAGAAAAGAAGAAAAAGAAAGAGAAAACAGGACCUGUCCAGCUUUCCAAGUUCUUUAAAAACAAAAAGAAAAAUGAAAACUACAGCAUGAUAACUGGAAAGAAAAUUAAGAUGAAAAUAAAGAAGACUAAGAAGGAUAAAGAGAGAGACCGGAACCGUGCAGAACUCCUUGAAUUUCUGAACUCUGCCUUAUAA